AUAUAAGAUUUAACCUGCCCGCUGAGAUAUUGAAUGGCCGCGGUAUUUUGACCGUGCAAAGGUAGCAUAAUAAUUAGUUUUUUGAUUGAAAGCUGGAAUGAAUGGUUGGACGAGAAAAUUACUGUCUCUGAUUAAUUUUUAAUAAAAUUUUAUUUUUAAGUUAAAAAGCUUAAAUUUAAUUAAAAGACGAGAAGACCCUAUAGAGUUUAAUAUUUUAAUAAAAAUUUAAUUUUAGGAAUUUUGAUUUUGUUUUUACAAGAAUAUUUUAUUGGGGUGAUAAAAAGAUAAAAUAAACUCUUUUUUUAUUAAAACAUUUAUAAAUGAAUAUUUGAUCCAAUAUUUUUGAUUAUAAGAAUAAAUUACCUUAGGGAUAACAGCGUAAUCUUUUUAGAGAGUUCUUAUCGAAAUAAGGGAUUGCGACCUCGAUGUUGGAUUAAAGUUAAUUUUUGGUGUAGAAGCUAAAAAUAUUAAGUCUGUUCGACUUUUAAAACUUUACAUGAUCUGAGUUUAAACCGGUGUGAGCCAGGUUGGUUUCUAUCUUUAUUAAAAUAUAAUAUUUUAGUACGAAAGGACCAA
rnacentral:rRNA from 1 species